rnacentral:tRNA from 1 species
UCCCUGGUGGUCUAAUGGUUAGGAUUCUGCACUGUCACUGCUGUGGCCUGGGUUCAGUCCCUAGUCUGGGAA